CCAACACUAACGUUGGAAGGACCAUGGCUAGUUAAAUUUUGGAAGUUGAAAAAUCAUGGAUGGUUAACUUGGACCACAUAUGACAACAAUUUGAAAGUCAAA